UUGAUUUUCCUUUCCAAAGCCUCUAUCGUUGACAAGGGGACCUCAUGCACAAGCAGUGGCCACAGGAGUCUCGUUCAGUUCUGUACCACUUCCCCAGGCUCUUUACCGGCUUCUUGAUAACAGAUGGUAUGGUCUCUUUGCCUUUCUUAAAUCUCAAGCGAUCCUGCUUCAGAACUAGUCUCCUGGAUUGAGCUGGUUUAAACUCCAUUCUGACUGCUUUGUAGGUGGCGCUGUUUGGUAGUCCGCCAACCAACAAAGAAGACACUUUGCCUGCCUUUAAUGUUGAUGGUGUAGAAGAGUGACACUGGGACGGUCUAACUGAGACACAGGAGCUGAAGGAGACAGUGAAGCCUGGAGAGGACGCCAUUCUCGUGUGUCGGGAUGGCAGAGUUGCAGCAUCUGAAAUGAUCGAGUGGAGCAGAUCUGACAUGAAGACAGAUGAUGAUAAUGUCUUCUUCUACAGAGACGGCCGCUUAUAUGAAAACAACCUCUAUCCAUCUUUUUAUGGUCGAGUGAAGCUGAGAGAUCCAGAGAUGAAGGACGGAGACGCUUCUGUGAUUCUGAAGAACGUCAACAUCAACGACACUGGAACAUAUGAGUGUUGGAUUGGAGUGAAAAUGAAAAACAAGUCAGGACGGAGAAAGAGAGACUCACGUGAACUCAUCAACACCAUCAAGCUGACAGUGACAGAGCCAGCGUCUCUUUGUCUCUCAGGUCUCAUAGUUGGACAUGUUGGACUGUCAGUUAUUGCCGUGCUUCUUCUUGUGGUUGCUGUUGGUGGUUUUAUGGUCUUUAAAAAACACGCAGGACGCACAGACAAGAGUGAAACAACUCACACAGAAAUAUUCCUAAACCCAUCAGCGCCAUCAGGCUGACAGUGACAGAUUCAGGUCACACAGCUGGACACAAGGAGGGAGAUGUUUCACAGAUAGGUCAUGUGCUUGUUAUUGUUGGUGUUGGUUUUAUUAUCCUUAGAAAAC